rnacentral:lncRNA from 10 species
GCGGUGGCGGGCGGGAGGGGGCGCCAGGUGGGCCGGGCCCGGGGGACGGAACGGUGGGACAGAAGGCUGGGGACCCGACCCCCUGCGAGGCGCCUGGAACGCCGCACCUAGAUGCUUGCACUGGGUGCAAGGAAAGCAAAACAGAUUUUAAAUCCAGAGUCACAGGAUCGGGGGUGGGGGAUGGGUUACAGGACGUGAGGGUUGAAGGCAAGGUGGCAGCUGCAAGGACUCUUCAGAUCAUCUUGACUUCAUAGGCAGUUUCUGCUUGGAGGUGGUGGCCAGUUGAGGAGGUCACUCCUGCCCCCAUCCUGGAGUGGAAAAAGUGGGCCCGGCCCAGGGCAGGGGCUGAGGGUGGAGUGGAGGCGCCUGGUGGCACUGGGAGCCACUAGGAGGUGGGAGGGAGGAAGGUGAGGCUGGCAGCUGACUGGGUGGGGGGUUUGCACCAGCGGAGAGGGGGUGGCUGUGCCAGGCACGUGGUUUCUAGCGUCUUUCCAGGAGGAAGUGUGGUCUGGAAGGCUGGGAUGGGGCCUUCCUCCCAGCUCUGGGCAUGGAUGGGACUGACCCUGAGGACUGGCAGAAGCCCUGGACUAAAGUUUUGACCAUUUCCUCAGCUGAUUCAGAACUCAGUCCCUCCAAGCCACAGGCCUCAUUCUGGGCCCUGGGUGGACGGUUAGAGCCAGAUCCUGGGACCACCCUGACCCCUGACUCUCCAGAACCCCUCGUCCACCCGACUGGCUGACCCUCUAGUUAUUUUCUCCACCUGGCCCAAACCACUGCCAUCUCUCUCUCUCUCUCUUUUUUUGAGACGGAGUCUCGCUCUGUUGCCCAGGCUGGAGUGCAGUGGUGCGAUCUCAGCUCACUGCCAAUCUCUGCCUCUUGGGUUCAAGAGAUUCUUCUGCCUCAGCCUCCAGAGUAGUUGGGAUUACAGGUGUCCACCACCAUGCCCAGCUAAUUUUUGUAUUUUUAGUAGAGACAGGGUUUCACCAUGUUGGCCAGGCUGGUCUCGAACUCCUGGCCUCAGGUGAUCCACCCACCUCAGCCUCCCAAAGUGCUGGGAUUACAGGCAUGAGCCACUACGCCUGGCCUCUACUGCUAUCUUCUGUUGGAGCCUCCCAGGUGGUCUUCUGAUGUAUUCCUCCCUUCCUUCUCCGACAUCUCUCAGCGGGCAGGGGCACCCUUCCAAAAUGCAGACCUAGGCCUGGCUCUCCCCCAGGUACUUCCUGCUGUGGGUCUCAUUUGCCUUCUGGAAAUUGCCUUGGCCCGGCUUAUGAGGCCUUCCACGUGGGUCGGUGAGAAAAAGUACGCAGCUCUGUCCCAGAGUGCAUGGCUGGGCAGGUGUAACCCAGGCUGGAUGUCUGCCUCUGCCCACCACUUCAGCCCGGCACCAUGUGUAGGAGACACCUGCUUAGCGUCCUCGGGAACCCUGACUAAGUCCACACCUGCCCUGACAUGUCACCUCCAGCCACCCUGUGUCUGCUCUGGUGACACCUUCUUAUUCCUGGAACGUACCCAGUCCCUGUCCAGCUCCGUUUUUGCCCACAUCGCUCUCGUCUUAAACACCCACCUACCUCAGCCCUCCUCUCUUUGUCCCCCCAAAGCCUCACUUGCUCUUCAAGCCUCAGCUUCAAGGACUCUUCCUACUUUCUGCACUAGGUGAGGCCCCCCCGCUUUGUUUUUUCAGAGGCAGGGUCUUGCUCUGUUGCCCAUGCUCAAGAGCAGUGGUGCAAUCACGGCUCACUGCAGUGUCAAACUCUUGGUCUCAAACAAUCCUCCUGCCUCAGCCUCCAGAGUAGCUGGGACCACGCACACACCACCAUACCCAGCUAAUUAACAUUUUUUAGAGAAAGGGUUCCACUAUGUUGUCUAGGCUGGUCUUGAACUCCUGGCCUCAAGCGAUCCUCCCACCUUGGCCUCCCAAAGCACUGGGAUUACAGGCCUGAGCCACCGCACCAGCCCUACUCUGUUUUGUACUCCCUGGCAGCUGCCUCCCCAAUUAGGACACUCAGCUGCUUGGCCUCCCCAGCCAGAAGGGCAGGGCUCAGUAAAUAUGUGUCACCCAAUAAGCAGGGACUGGGUGCCAGGCCUUGGACGCCUGCCACGCUCUUGUGACUUGUCUUUCUGCCUUCAGUCUUGUCCCUUCCUUCAACUUCCCACCUGCCCCUAAAGUGGUCUUUCUGAGACACAGCUGGGACCCCAUCACUCUGCUUGUCAGGUAUCCAGAGCUCUAUCCAAAAUCAUCCCAGGCUGGGCCUGGUCUCCAAACCCCUUUUUGAAGAAGCCUCCCAUCCAGCCACA